rnacentral:rRNA from 1 species
CUACGGGUGGCUGCAGUCGAGGAAAUUUUACAAUGCUCGAAAGAGUGAUAAAAUGAGUCAGAGUGUUUCUCUUAGAGAAACUUUUUUCUGCUGUAAAAAGGCAGAAGAAUAAGGACUGGGUAAGACCGGUGCCAGCCGCCGCGGUAAUACCGGCGGUCCGAGUCGCAUCCACAUUUAUUGGGUCUAAAACAUCCGUAGCUUGUUUUAUAAGUCUCUUGUGAAAUCUGAUAUCUCAAAUAUCAGGCGUGCAAGAGAUACUAUAUUACUAGAGACCGGAAGACGCAGGGAGUAUGAUUAAGGUAGCGGUAAAAUGCGUUAAUCUUAAUUAGACUAACAAUAGCGAAGGCACCUUGCGAGUACGGAUCUGACAGUAAGGGAUGAAGGCUAGGGGCGCGAAAGGGAUUAGAUACCCGAGUAGUC